GAUGCCCUACGGGGCGCAGCAGUAGGGAAUCUUCCACAAUGGGCGAAAGCCUGAUGGAGCAACGCCGCGUGGGUGAAGAAGGUCUUCGGAUCGUAAACCCCUGUUGUUAGAGAAGAAAGUGCGUGAGAGUAACUGUUCACGUUUCGACGGUAUCUAACCAGAAAGCCACGGCUUACUACGUGCCAUCAGCCGCGGUAAUACGUAUGUGGCAAGCGUUAUCCGGAUUUAUUGAGCGUACAGGGAACGCAGGCGGUCUUUU
rnacentral:rRNA from 1 species